rnacentral:rRNA from 1 species
UACGUAGGGCGCAAGCGUUAUCCGGAAUUAUUGGGCGUAAAGAGCUCGUAGGCGGGUUAUCAAGUUGGAGGUGAAAGCCCAGGGCUCAACCUUGGAAUUGCCUUCAAAACUGAUAGCCUAGAGUAUGAUAGAGGUAAGUGGAACUCCGAGUGUAGAGGUGAAAUUCGUAGAUAUUCGGAAGAACACCAGUGGCGAAGGCGGCUCACUGGCCCGAUACUGACGCUGAGGUGCGAAAGCGUGGGGAGCAAACAGGG